CAUCAGUUUAAUAGGUGCCUUUGGCCCACUGUGCAAUGGCUAUAAACUGCCAAUUCCUUGGAAGUGCAUGCAUACUGUUCCUUGUAUGGAUCGCCCUAAGGGACCUUGGAGAUGGCC
rnacentral:snoRNA from 1 species